AGCCUCAUUGUAGAUGAAAAUGGACAGUGUUGGUCAGUGUCCAGAAUUGCUCAGUGUGGCUAAAUUGAAACACAGGUCAUGCUUCCAUCACAGUAAAUAUAUUACAGUGGUGACAAUGAGACCUGUAACAUUG
ensembl:snoRNA